rnacentral:miRNA from 1 species
GUUAACAACUUGUAACAAGCUUGAUGGCAUUAUCAGAUUUGUUGCAAGGUUGUUCCAACAAGUCCGAUACAGUCAUGAUAUAACAAUAUUGUUACAACCCUGUGUGUCGUCAACCUUGUAACAUUCUCGUUAUAUCGUGACUGUAUCAGACUUGUUAGAACCUUGUAACAACUAUGAUAAUGCCAUCAAGCUUGUUACAAGUUGUUAAC